CUGUUUGGAGUUAAUAAGAUUAUUUGUAGCAAUCUGCAUUAGAUAUUGUUAAAAAUAACAUCAUUUUCAAAAUAUUGAAGGAGUCAAAACUGUUAUCUUCUGAGUGCAAAGCAAGUAGAUAGCAUUGCAUCUAUGCACCUGCUUUUGACUAAUGAUGACCAUUCCACCUUUAUUUAAUAUAAGAAAGUUGGAGGGUGAGAAUACAGGCUGAGUGGC